GACGGGGGGGGCAAGUGUUCUUCGGAUUGACUGGGCGUAAAGGGCGCGUAGGCGGUUUGUACAGUCAGACGUGAAAUUCCCGGGCUCAACCUGGGGGCUGCGUUUGAUACGUGCAGACUUGAGUUCGGAAGAGGGUCGUGGAAUUCCCAGUGUAGAGGUGAAAUUCGUAGAUAUUGGGAAGAACACCGGUGGCGAAGGCGGCGACCUGGUCCGAUACUGACGCUGAGGCGCGAAAGCGUGGGGAGCAAACAGG
rnacentral:rRNA from 1 species